AAUGAACGUUGGCGGCGUGGAUUAGGCAUGCGAGUCGUGCGAGAACCGUAGCAAUACGGGGACAGCGGCGAAAGGGAGAGGAAUACGUGGAUACCUACCCUCAGGUUCAGGAUAGCUAUGGGAAACUAUAGGUAAUACUGAAUAAUAUCUCCGGAUCAAAGGUGUGAUUCCACCUGAGGAGGGGUCCGCGUCCUAUUAGCUAGUUGGUGUGGUAACGGCGCACCAAGGCGAAGAUGGGUACGGGAUGUGAGAGCAUAAUCCCGCUCAUUGGGACUGAGACACUGCCCAGAAACCUACGGGUGGCUGCAGUCGAGAAUCUUCGGCAAUGGGGGAAACCCUGACCGAGCGACGCCGCGUGUGAGAUGAAGGCCUUCGGGCUGUAAAUCACUGUCGUAGAGGAGGAAAUGUAGGUGGGUUCUCCCAUCUAUUUGACCUAUUCUAGGAGGAAGGACGGGCUAAGUUCGUGCCAGCAGCCGCAGUAA
rnacentral:rRNA from 1 species